UUUUGAGAUGUGUUGAUGCUAUGAAAUUUAAAAUCAACUUAUUUUUCCCUUAAAAUGAUAAAUUUUCUCACACUGCAUCAAUUACAACAUCAUGGCUGUGUAGAAGAAGGAUCCGGGUACUGAAAUGGCCAGCCUGCAGUCCAGAUCUUUCACCCAUAGAAAACAUUUGGUGCAUCAUAAAGAGGAAGAUGCGACAAAGAAGACCUAAGACAGUUGAGCAACUAGAAGCCUGUGUUAGACAAGAAUGGGACAACAUUCCUAUUCCUAAACUUGAGCAACUUCUCUCCUCAGUCCCCAGACAUUUGCAGACUGUUAUAAAAAGAAGAGGGGAUGCCACACAGUGGUAAACAUGGCCUUGUCCCAACUUUUUUGAGAUGUGUUGAUGCUAUGAAAUUUAAAAUCAACUUAUUUUUCCCUUAAAAUGAUAAAUUUUCUCAGUUUAAAGAUUUGAUAUGUCAUCUAUGUUGUAUUCUGAAUAAAAUAUAUAAAUGUGAAACUUCCACAUUUCAUUCUGUUUUUUUGGAAUCGGGUUUGUACAUGUGAGUAUGUUUUUUGUUAUCAGGUGCAGAAUCUGGGCUGCUACACUGUCAGUAAUCUGGAGCUGAUCGUCAAUUUGCCUGCCGUGGCUUCCGGAGACAGAGUUUUUGCAACUGUGGUUGAUGCUUUCUCUCUUAAUUCUUCAGGUGUGAACUGCAGUAUAAUCAGUAAUCUUUCUAAGUUAAAGUCCAGUCAGAGAGAUGUGCGUCCAUUUCACCCAGAGGACAUGAAGAAAACUGAACUACUGAAUUGCACUUCCUCUUGGUGUGUGGAGGUUGUGUGUCACAUCCAGCAGCUACUGAAGGGACAGACCUUGAUUCGCAUCACCAGGAGGAUACACGACAACUUCUUCCGACAGGUGACAUCACCCAAACUUUAGUACGCACAGGCAAAUGGCUACAGAGGUCAGAUGUCUUUACUGGGAUGUGUUUGUUUUUCAGUCUCUAACCUCUAAUUACUGUGUGCUUCUGUCAGGCCAAGUUUAAGCAGUGACAAUUGUGGGUUCUUACCAGCUGUCAGCUCGAGAGUCCUAGUUUGAUUACCCAGUUUAAAGCAGUGACAAUUGUGGGUUCUUACCAGCUGUCAGCUCGAGAGUCCAGUUUGAUUACAAUGGGAAAUGCUGCCCUCUUGAGGGAGGUGAGAAAACUGACAGGACAUAAACUCAUAAACCAGGGUUGUUCAAACCUGUUCCUGGAGGGCCCCUGUCUGGCAGAGUUUUACUCUAAACUUAAUUAAGCACACCUGAACCAGCCAAUUAUGGUCUUCACUCUUUCUAUAAGCUUUCUUUUAGUGUAAAUAAAAAACAGAAAAAAUAAGCUUGUUGACAAAAAUGAAAUCCUUCCCUACUAGGCAGUGCCUCCUCAAAAAUAUUGAAUGACAAAAUGAUCCACAGUACAAAAAUAAAACAACACAAAAACUAUGAAAUUGGUUACUGAGAAUGAAUGCGUAAAAAAGUCACAUGAGAGGAGAUACAACCUCCAUCAUACUAUGAUUGGGCUAUUACUACACUGAACAAAAUUAUAAACACAACACUUUUGUUUUUGCCCCCAUUUUUCAUGUGCUGAACUCGAAGAUCUAAGACUUUUUCUAUGUACACAAAAGGCCUAUUUAUCUCAAAUAUUGAUCACAAAUCUGUCUAAAUCUGUGUUAGUGAGCACUUCUCCUUUGCCGAGAUAAUCCAUCCACCUCACAGGUGUGGCAUACCAAGAUGCUGAUUAGACAGCAUACAGGUGUGGCAUACCAAGAUGCUGAUUAGACAGCAUGAUUAUUGCACAGGUGUGCCUUAGGCUGGCCACAAUAAAAGGCCACUCUAAAAUCUG
rnacentral:lncRNA from 1 species